CCAUGUCUGUUUUGGCAUUCUUUCUACGGCUGGAUGCCCUUCCUAAUGCCAACCACUUUACAGAGUGUAAUGGUUGCUUUUACACAGCAUUGGCCCAGGAGCUUUUUACAUGGCACCAGCAC